rnacentral:rRNA from 1 species
GUGCCAGCAGCCGCGGUAAUACGUAUGGGUGCUAGCGUUGUCGCGGAAUUACUGGGCGUAAAAGGGCGUGUAUGCGGUAGAGCCAAAGUCAAAUGUAAAACCCCCGGGGCUCAACUUCGGGGCAAUGCAUCUUGAAACUGCAAAUACUUGAGGUGCAGGAGGAGGGAAGCGGAAUUUCUGGUGUAGCGGUGGAAUGCGUAGAUAGUCAGGAAGAACACCGGUUGGCGAAGGCGGCUUUCUGGCCUGCAACUGACGCUGAGGCGCGAAAGCGUGGGGAGCGAACAGGAUUAGAUACCCUGGUAGUCCACGCUGUAAACGAUGGAUACUAGGUGUAGGUGGUAUCAAAGCCAUCUGUGCCGAAGUAAACACAUUAAGUAUCCCGCCUGGGGAGUACGGCCGCAAGGUUGAAACUCAAAGGAAUUGACGGGGGCCCGCACAAGCAGCGGAGCGUGUGGUUUAAUUCGAAGCAACGCGAAGAACCUUACCAGGUAUUGACAUGCAUAUGAAUUAUGCAGAAAUGCAUAAGGCUUAUCGAAA